GAUGAACGCUGGCGGCGUGCUUAACACAUGCAAGUCGAACGGAAAGGCCCUUCGGGGUACUCGAGUGGCGAACGGGUGAGUAACACGUGGGUGAUCUGCCCUGCACUUUGGGAUAAGCCUGGGAAACUGGGUCUAAUACCGAAUAGGACUACGGCCUUCAUGGGUUGUGGUGGAAAGCUUUUGCGGUGUGGGAUGGGCCCGCGGCCUAUCAGCUUGUUGGUGGGGUAAUGGCCUACCAAGGCGACGACGGGUAGCCGGCCUGAGAGGGUGACCGGCCACACUGGGACUGAGAUACGGCCCAGACUCCUACGGGAGGCAGCAGUGGGGAAUAUUGCACAAUGGGCGCAAGCCUGAUGCAGCGACGCCGCGUGAGGGAUGACGGCCUUCGGGUUGUAAACCUCUUUCAGCAGGGACGAAGCGCAAGUGACGGUACCUGUAGAAGAAGGACCGGCCAACUACGUGCCAGCAGCCGCAGUAAAAC
rnacentral:rRNA from 1 species